rnacentral:rRNA from 1 species
AUUGAACGCUGGCGGCAGGCCUAACCCAUGCAAGUCGAACGAGUGGCGGACGGGUGAGUAAUGCCUAGGAAUCUGCCUGGUAGUGGGGGAUAACGUCCGGAAACGGGCGCUAAUACCGCAUACUAUCAGAUGAGCCUAUGUCGGAUCAACUCGUUGGUGGGGUAAAGGCCCACAAAGGCGACGAUCCCUCGCUGGUCUGAGAGGAUGAACAGCCACACUGGAACUGAGACACGGUCCAGACUCCGACGGGAGGCAGCAGUGGGGAAUAUUGCACAAGGGGCGCAAGCCUGAUGCAGCCAUGCCGCGUGUAUGAAGAAGGCCUUCGGGUUGUAAAGUACUUUCAGCGGGGAGGCGUUACCCGCAGAAGAAGCACCGGCUAACUCCGUGCCAGCAGCCGCGGUAAUUC